UAAUAGACCUACAGUGCUGAAUCCAUGUUGACCUCUGUGAGUGAAAUGUAGAACUGUAGGAAUGUGGAAAAUAGAGAACGACCUACAACAACUUGGGAAUCACAGUGUGUCUGUGAGUUGAGUCGUCCAAGCCAACAGUGUCUGGACAGUGGUGGUAAAACAUGAUCAUUAACCUGGAGGUGGCCUCUCAGUUACCUCAGCAGUGUGUCUCGCUCCCACACAAAUCACAUACUCAGCUCCAUCAUUUCCUUCAGCUUGGCUUUUGCCUGUCCAGAGCUCAGUACAAAUGUGGAGGGCACACCACACCCCUACCUUCUGCAGCACAGCAUACACACCAUCUUGGGAAACAUAAAUCUUUCCAAUGCCACUCUGCCUAUCUUCUGAAAAGUCUUGGCUGACCUGCAGGCUUGUUCUUCCAUCCUCCUGUACACCCCUUUCAAUGAGAGUUAGCCCAAGGUUAUAUUAGGAACAUUUAACAAUGUCUACCUUGCUUGGCAUUGAAGCCUAAAAACCAUUACUCCUCUUAGGGGGUAAGUUGAUUAUGUACAGUGGAGCCUAACGGAGCUAUAGGUUGCCCAGUUCAUCCUGCGUUGUGUUCAUGUGUGGGGCUGUGCUGUACUGCUGUCUGGAGUGGGUCAGAUCCCUGGCCUCUGGAGUACUGUUGCUGCUGCUGCUAAAGGGUCUGGAUGCUCGCUCUCAGGCCUGCCAGCGCGGUAAAGGGAGAGGAGGCCAUUCCCUGUCCGCUAAAGCAGCUCUGCAGACUAAGAAAAAAAUGUCAGAUUGACAGUUCAACCUUAAGAGUGUUCAGAAGUGUUCUCAUUCAAAUCCCUUAGAUCUGUAGCUCCUUUUUGCAAAAAGACUUAUAUAGAGUUCUUGCAAAAUGGUUAGUACAGGGUAGAAAUGCUUUUCACCCAAAAUAUGUAUGUAAAAGUAUAAUGGAAAGAGAAACUUAAAGCCCAGGAUCAGAUAUGCCUUUAUCACUUGACUCCCUGAAAUGCCCACGUGGCUAAUGUGUGAACUGUACUAAGAGGGAACUUCUGAGGCUGGCUUUUUCGAUAUUUGGGUUUUGCCUGGUUUGCAUUUUUUUUUUUUUUUUUUUUACUUUACUGUGGCUGCAGUAGACACGAGUGUGUGUCUUACAUAUGGAGACUUUCAUUUACUUCUCAGAGAAAGGAUUUGUAAGUUUGGCUUGCCUACUGGCAAUCCCACAAGCAUGCUAUGUAAAGUUAGUCUUGAUAUGAAACUAUACACAUGGACUUGGAAUGUGUGUCUUCAAUAAAACACGUGUACAGC
rnacentral:lncRNA from 1 species